rnacentral:lncRNA from 1 species
UCAAGAGCAGGCUGCUUUCUGAGAGGGUUCCUGGGUGCCCUGUGCUCCAGAGAAACCGGGACUUCAGCCAGCCCUGCACCAGCCUCUGGCGACCCGACCCGGUUGAGCUGAGUUGCAAAUCGACUGAGUUGAUUGAGCCAUUUGCCUCAAGAUCAAAUUCUGGCCAAAAUAUUAGCCCCUGUUCCUGCUCCAACUUCAGGAUGUAUCCUGAGAACCAGCUUCCCUCCCCUGCAGCAUCUCUGGCACCUGCUCUACUGUCCCUUCUUUAUUGAUUCAUCCAUUCAACACAAAUGUACUGAGCAGCCACCCGGGUCAGACACACCGCUAGGGACUGAGGAUGGAGGAGUGGACAAGGAGGACCCAUCCCUGGCUGCCGGGAGCCUACAGUCUAGUGGAGGAAACAGACACCAGAGAACUAACCAUACUGACUAAUGAAUGACGACUGUGGUAUUGCUGGUCUGAGUGCCCCUGCUAUAAAGCAAGGAGUGUCAGUGCGGACUCUGCAGCCAGAAAGCCAGAAAUGUGCUCCCCUGUUGGGGAGAUAAAAGAGCUCUCGGGAGCACCGGGGAUGAAGAAGCUUGUUAAGGAAUGAGAAUAAGGCAGAGAAGACCAGAAAGGUAAGCUGUUGCACAGCAAUCUGUCCCAGCAGGAAAUACCGACUGUGAAGAUACAGAGCUGCCUUCGGAUUCUAGUCGUCUCCAGAACCACACAAACGAUUGUGCAUGAGAGAUUCAAUGGGCACAGGCAGCCUUUGACUGAGGCUGGACUCCUGCUUGUUACCCCGGCAACUGUGAUGGUCCUUAUUAAGACAACAGGGAUGCUUCCAAGCACCAAGAGGGUAGGGAACUAGGUGGUGGUUGUUAGUGCUAUGGAGUGGCUUCUGAUUCCUAGUGACCCUGUGGACAGCAGAGCGGAACCCUGCCUGGGACUUUUGCCCCAUCCUCUCACCUCUGACGCUCUAUCAGACAGUGUUCCGCUCCUAUUCACAAGGUUUCCAUGGCCAGCUUUUUCAUAAGUGGGCGGCCAGGUCCUUCCUCCUAGUAUGAGUUAGUCCGGAAGCUCUGCUGAAUGCUGUCCACCGUGGGGAACACUGCUGGUAUUUGAAAUACUGGUGGCAUAGUUUUCACAUCACAGCAACACAGCCGCCAUGGUAUGACAACAGAUGAGUGCUGUGGUUCCCUGACAGGGAAAAGAACCCAGGCAGUGGCAGUGAGAGCGCUGAAUCGUACCUAAUUCCUAAAGGUAUGUGAUUCUCAAUUCCUAUGAACUAAUGGUCGUGGAAGGCACUGGACGAUCUUAUCCGCCUGGUUAAUUGCCCCUGUCUUCCUGGGGACUGAGCCUCCUCCACCUCCAUAUGGCAGCUGCACCCUUGCCCCCAUGGUCACAGUCAGUGGGUCCAGGAAUGGGCAUCUGGGAGUUUGUAUUUAGGACAGAAAAUCAGGCAGCCUCUCUCAGGUAGCUGAAGCUGUGAAGAGGUAAAACUCCAGUGUGGAGAAAAUUAGUCUUGAGGAAGAGAGAAAAAGAAAGUGGACACGCAGGGUGCAAUGGACAGUUUGUGUCCCCCCAAAUUCUAUGUUAAAAUCUAACCUGGAGAUACUAAUGUUGGGAGGUGGGCCUUUGGGAGGUGAUGGGGUCCUGAGGGCGGAGCCCUCAUGAAUGGGAUCAGUGCCCUUAUAAAGGAGACUUUAGAGAGCUGGCUGGCCCCUUCCACCACAGGAGGACUCAGGGAGAAGACGCCGUCUAUGAACCAGGAAGGGGACUCACCAGACACAGAAUAUGCCAGAAUCUGGGUAGUCAGCCUCCCAGCCGCUAGAACUGUGAGCAGUAAAUUUCUGUCAUUUAUAAGGGGUUUUUGUUAUAGCAGCCCCAAAAGACUGAGACACAAGGACAACCAGAGAAGGGACAAGUCCUGAGGGGUUCUAGUCCCUGGUUCUGGCAGUUCCCGAGGCUGCAGCCACACUCUCAGAGCCCUUUCUGCCACUGGUCUGGUCCCCACCUCCCUGACGUCUGUGAGCAGCCCCAGUGUUCUCGAAACACGUUCUCUUUGGCUUAAGCUGGUUUGGGUUGCAUAUGUGUCACUUGGAAUCAAAGCAACAGUGAAGAGAAAUGACUAUUGAGAACACUGGAUCCAGCCAGCACCCUUGCUUUGCCCAGCUGAGACACCCGGCAGUGCUCCCUGGACAACUCAGAGCUCAGGGCAGCUGAUGGCACGCAGCGCGGGGGUUUCACACCACUGUGGACUUGGGAAGGCUUGAAGGGAAUCCAUGAAGACUCGGGUUUCAUUUGGCACUUGUUUGUUUCUUUCUAAUUAUUCUAUUUAUUCACAGAAUUAGAGAGACCUGAGCCAGUGUCCUGCCCUGCACCUGGAGGGUGUGUGAUGGCAAAAGGGAAAGAGGAGAGCAGAAAUUCAGGACUGGGUAGUUUCCGUAAAAUUCAAUCACUGGACUUUCGUGGGAAUUCAUACUCUGAAUUGGAAGCAGCUUCUCUGGCCUCUUGACCUCGCCAUGCCUGAGGCAGCUGUAGGAAGGGGUGGAGGGCAAGUAAAGGAAGAGAGAGGAACCAGAGGCAAGAGUGCGCUUUUCCUUCAGAACUUCGCUUCUCUCUCCGCACUAUUCACAGGUUGAAGCUGUCACCAUGCUGACUCCUCCCUCCGUCCCUCCUCGUCCUCCAUCCCAUCCAGUACACCCCCACCGCUCCCCUGCCCACCCAUCCCCACCCUUCUGCACUGCCCGAGUUCAGUUGUAAAACUCCAUUCUCCCCUGGGUGUCCCAUGCUCACCCCCGAUGCCAACUGAGUUCUCCACGAAGCAGCCAGAGUAUCCUGUCCAGGUGACAAAUGUGACUAUGCCCUCACCUGCUUAAAACCUCUCAGUGGCUCCCCUUCGCUCUUAGGAUAAAGUACAAAACCCUUCAGUAUGCCUGCACCAUGCAGCAGCUGCCUCUCUCUGUUGCCUUGUACUCCUCUGCACUCUGCUCCAGCCACAAUGACUUGGUUCAACUCCUGGAAGGGGCGUGCUCCCUCCUGGCUCAGGGUCCUUGCACCAACUGUUCUCUCUGCCUGGAUGCCCUUCCCCUCUCUUUCAUCCAGUUAGUUCCCACUCUUUCUUAGGAUCUAGCUCAUCUGGCCUUCUUUACAAAUUCUUACAAAUAACCCUCACGGCCCUUAUCACAGUUUAACUUACCCCUGUGGGAGCGUUUGACUGACAGUUGUCCUCCCAACUAGACUGCAAGCUCCAUGAGGGCAGGGAGGGACCACGUCUGUUUCCCUCACCACUGAAACCCCAGCACCGGCCACAGGGCCUGGCUGAGUCUCACCUCCUCCUCCAGACCCCGUUCAAACAUGUCUGAGAGGCCCUCUUGGGCUCCCCGCUUUGUCAGUCCAUGAAGCAGAGUGGACCUCUACCACGCAUUUAUGGUGCUAUGCUGCAACAAUUUGCUCAU